GCCUCUCCACUUGAAGUCAUUCUCACUCCACGUUUGUCUACCCAAGUUUUUAGUCAAAACCUAUGACCAUGGCUAUUGUGAUUCUACUAAAUUUACCAUAAGAUCGUUUAUUUUGCACCAAAAGGACAUUUGGCUUUAUUCUGUUAUCCAGCUCGCUGUCAUUAUGUUAAAUUGUCAUAUAAUUGGGGAGUGAUCUCUUUAUUAAUUUCGAAAAUAUUAAUAUAAAAUUUAAAAAUCAUAAAGUAAAAUCCUAAAAAUAUAUUUGUGAUGCUCCAAUUUCUUAGGGAUUGGUUGUCCUUGUUUCUAGUAUUGUUUGUGGUGUUUUUUGUUUGUUGGCACUUUGCAUGUGUUAGGAAAUAAAAGAGUUGAAGAAGAA
rnacentral:lncRNA from 1 species